AACUUCUCAACUCAUUAUGGCUUUGCCGUAGUGCAGUUGGACUUGGGGGUUGCUGGUAAUCAGCUCCUCUUAAAUGUAUUAGCUGGAAACUCGUGUGUAUCUCCGGUGUGAUAAUAUCUACUCCGACUGAUCACAAAGUAGGGUCUGCUUCUAAUCGUCCUUUAAAGGACCACACUUGAC
rnacentral:misc_RNA from 1 species